GCGUUCCGACUGCAGUGAAGUUGAACUGUAAGGUUUGAUGGAGCUGUCGGAAGUGAGAAUGCCGGUAUGAGUAGCGUACAAUCCCUGUGAGAAUCAGGGACACCGAAUACCCAAGGUUUCCGUCGCUAGGUUCGUCCACGACGGGUUAAUCGGUACCUAAGGCGAGGCCAUAAUUUAUGGCGUAACCGAUGGAUAACUAGUUAAAAUUCUAGUAUUUGAUUUGAAUCGUUAUUAACUGGGGGAUGACUAGAUUGGAGGAUUAAAGCCAAUUUGUGAAAUUUGGUAUAAGCUGCUAGGUAGUGCUGGUUGGAAAAUCCGCUAGCGUGAUUAAUCGAGCAGUGAUGUAAAGUCCUACGCGAGUGGGGCAAUUUUAACCCCUUCAAUCUACGAGAAAAGUCUCGCAGUGAGAGUCAAAUCAAGCCGUACCGCAAACCGACACAGGUGGGUUGGUAGAGAAUACUAAGGUGAGCGAGAGAAGGAUGUUCAAGGAAUUCGGCAAAAAAACUACCCGUAACUUCGGGAGAUGGGUUUCCUGAUGGGCGCAAGCUUGUCAGGACUCAGCUAAAGUUUACUAGUCGACUGUUUAUCAAAAACACAUGUCCCUGCAAAGUCGAAAGACACUGUAUAGGGGCUGACGCCUGCCCAGUGUUGGUAAGUUAAGCGGAUGGGUGGUACGUUCAUGCGCAAGCACUGAAUGUACUGCUUUGAAGUUAAGCUCCAAUAAACGGCAGCAGUAACUAUGAAUAAGUCGUAGUUGAGAAUGACUCACAUUUUGUGAUAUUCGUCAUUCCGUCCCGCAUUGCGGAACGAAAAAGUUGACUAUAUGCUGGAAAGUCCGUACCGUACAACUCCGAUUUAAUCGGAGCAAACGGUUGAAGUAUCUGACGUUACCAUGUAAAAUGGUGAUAAUGCGUUCAGUGCGGGCAAUCAGCAGGAAAGACCUUUCAGGAAAAAAUUUAGGAUAUUUUCUUGCAGGAUUUGUUGAAGGAGAGGGAAGUUUUAAUGUCUCUUUACGAAAAAAAGUUGACUAUAAAGUUAACUGGCAGGUUGUAAUGAGCUUUAAUGUUUCCCAAAAAGACCCUUCAAUCUUACAAGUACUUAAAAGAGAACUCGAUUGCGGGAUUAUAAAAGUCCGCAAGGAUGAUCUUUUAUAUUCGUACGAUGUAACAAAACCUCAAGAUAUAAUUCUAAGAAUAAUUCCUUAUUUUCAAAAGUUUCCUCUUUUAUCCGAAUCAAAAAGAAAGAAUUUUGCAAUUUUUUGCAAAAUUGCUCGGAUCAUGGAUGGAGGGGGACAUAAAGUCUUAUCUGGACUUCGAAAGAUUCUCGAAUUAAGAGAAUUAAUAAAUGAAGGGAAGGGUAGAACCAGAAAAUAUGGAAUUAAAGAUGUUUUUCCUGAUUAGGAAUCCUCAGAGACUAUACGUCAACCUCCGAUUAAAUUGGGGAUGAUAUAGUCCGAUCUCAUGGGCGACCAUGAGCGACGUAACCAAUCGUCUAUAUAACAACGUGAACUGUUCUACGGUAGCGAAGUUCCUUGUCGGGUAAGUUCCGACCCGCACGAAUGGCGUCACGAGCUAGUAACUGUCUUGAACAUUCACUCGGCGAAAUUGCGGUGGCUGUGAAGACGCGGCCUAAUUCCACCAGGACAAAAAGACCCCGUGGAGCUUUACUGUAGUUUGACAUUGCUUUCAUAUUUUUUGAUUGUCAAGAAUAGGAGGGAGAGAAAUCGACAGUGUGAUACCUCUCUUUGAAAAAUAUGAGGCUUACUCAAUUCCGAUGAAUACUCGGGAGGGGAAAGUGUUAGAUGGGCAGUUUUACUGGGGCGGUACCCUGCCAAAGUGUAACGCAGGGGUACAAAGGUUGGCUUACUACGGAUGGAAAUCGUAGGGAAAGCAUAAAGGUUUAAGCCAGCUUGACUGCAAGCGAGAAGUCGCGAGCAGGUGCGAAAGCAGGUCUUAGUGAUCCCCCGACUCACAAUGGGUGUGGUCGGGGCCUAACUGAUAAAAGCUACCCCGGGGAUAACAGAGUAGUCGCGCCCGAGCGUCCAUAGCGACGGCGCGGUUCGCUACCUCGAUGUCGGCUCAUCAUAUCCUGGCGCUGGAGAAGGUGCCAAGGGUCGGUCUGUUCGCCCGUUAAAAUGGUACGUGAGCUGGGUUCAGAACGUCGUGAGACAGUGAGUAGUCCAAGCGGUCUCUCUUUUAAGGCGUUUUGAUAUUCGAAGGUGGAAAUUACUUUUUGUCCAAAUUAUUAGAAUUAAAAGAUAUAAAUCUGGCUAUUUGCUGGAAAAUCUCGUUAAAUAGUUGAGUACUAGUAUAUAAUUAAUAUACCAGUGAAAAUCUCAGCUCUGAGACUAUCAGCAGGAAAGGCUAGUUCUUGAUGUCUAUUAAGGUUAGUAAUGACUAUUUUGCUGGUUUUGUUGAAGGUGAAGGAAUGUUCUACGUUGGAGUAGUUCGAUCACCCGAAACCAAAACAGGCUGGCAAGUUAUUUAUUUUUUUAAAGUAUCUCAAAAUCCAAUCGGAUUAAAAGUUUUAGAAGAACUAAAAAGCCGUUUGAAUUGCGGAUAUAUAAAAGAAAAUAGUCAAACUGAUCCAACUGACAAAUCGUUAGCAUAUAUAGUGCGCGAUUUGCCAAACUUAAGAGACAAGGUAAUUCCGUUUUUUGAAGGUAGAUUGAUUAUUAAAAGAAAUGCUUUUGAAGCAUUUAAACGUGUUUUAGAAAUUGUUAACACGAAAAAUCAUUUAACCUUAAACGGUAUUAAAGAAAUUCUUGAUAUUGCAUAUUCAAUGAAUACCAGAAAAAGAAGGGUAUCAAAGAAACAAAUAAUCAAGAGUUACAAGAAUUAGAAUCCUCACAGGCCAUACGCCAGAUCCCGAGCGACUAAAAGGAGUCGAGGGAAAGAUAUGGUCGGAUCUCUAUGGCGACAUAGAGUUAACUAUAAUGUCGGACUCUAUCCGGUGGAAUCGUUCGAGUUUUGAAGGGAGCUGGAGACAGUACGAGAGGACCUCUCUGGAGGAAUCCCUGGUGUGCCGGUUGUGACGUCAGUCGCAACGCCGGGUAGCUAUAUUCCUAAAGGAUAACCGCUGAAAGCAUCUAAGUGGGAAGCCCACCCUAAGAUUAGAACUCGUUACAGACCCCUAGAAGAAUACUAGGUUAAUCGGCUGGAAGUGGAAGACCCGUAAGGGUUUAAGCUUACCAGUGCGAAUCGGUCAAAUGACUUACGAAC
rfam:Candidatus Woesebacteria bacterium RIFOXYA1_FTLL_40_18 rifoxya1_full_scaffold_1980, whole genome shotgun sequence.